CCCGGAUAGGUGACUCACCAUUGAACGAGUUCUCUCUUCAGAAACCAUAGCGACUCGACUCCCAUUCAAGCUUCAACAGAACCCGAGCAUGAGAACCCUUCAUCGCGUAUUCUCGUCCGCCACAAAAUUAACAGGGACUGAGGUAUCUUGUAGACUCAACUCGGCAAUCUACAAUUCCUUGUUCCAUUCGCCUACUCUUUCAAAACCCAUCUCGACGAAGGCCCCCAAAAGCGGCGUCGAUGAGUGGAACGAUGCGUGGGAGACAGCUUGGCUCCCGGAGGACCUCAAGCCUAGUGUUCGAGCCCCGUGGGAGACUGACGUGAACUUUCCAUCUGGAGAAUCCGCUGCUGCGCUCUCAUCUGAGGUCGACGCCGAUACCAAGGCGUUUGUUGAGGACAUGAACGAGAAUUGGGAUACCAGGCGAACUAUGACGAAGAACAAACAACAGCCCGAGAAGGAAAAGAAGGGUAUUGAUAAUGGGACGCUGUAUAGCUUGGACAAUAUUAAGAUGGAUUAUAGAUUAAAGAAGCAGAGGAUUCAUGCGGGGUUGUGGGUGAAGGAGAUUGAGAGGAUGGAGGAGGCAAAAUUUGAGAGUGGGGGAGAUGAUAUUGAGAGAUUGCUCGACAGUUGCUCCGAGAUCUUUGACACAUCCAAUGAUGAUAUGGACAAGGCAAAAGUCCCAAGCACUUCUGAGUUCAAAAACAAACCUGACGGAUGGGAAACAACAUCGAAGACACAAGACGGAAAUGUAUGGGAUAUGUCACAAAGAGAGGAAGACAUUCUGCUCCAAGAAUUUGAUCGCCGAAUUGCAUAUUCCAAAUUUCAGGUUCAUCAUGGUUUUACGGUUUAAUAGCAAUCAGAUAGUUAAUUUUGAGCAGGAAGUAGGAAGAACCAUAGAAGUUGUUUUGUUUGAUGAUAGACCACAGCAAAUACCACACAAAAAUAACGCAGCAAGUAACAGUGAGAAAGGGUGAUAGCAACCAGAGAUCUCUAGUUGUAUUUGAUUGAAAGGAAAUAAAGAGAGCUGUCAAGGAAUACAGGGAUAAAACCUAAGUUUCGAGGAGUUAGGACCUCCAAAAGACAACAUGUCUCCACUUAAUUCCAGACUACUCACUACCACUACUGCUGCCAGACUAUAUACUCAGAGUUUGUUACAAAACAGAAUAUGCCAAUAAAGGAUUACAGAUUGCAAGUUUUAUAAAGACUCAUAUAUUUAGCCGGAGGAGACCAAUUGAUGGUUGGAAGUAUAUGAUAGAGGAAAUAGGGCCCAAUGCCAGAAAAGGAAAGGGUGGUGUUUCAAGGUUACCAGCUCUAUCUGAUC